rnacentral:lncRNA from 1 species
AUGAACACAUCAAUUCCUUCUCGGUUGAACCCUCGUAAUUUACAUGGUACAAACUGAAACCAGUGCGCGCUCACAUCCGGACACCCUACAGAUCGAACGGUGUGGCACCGACGCCUCACUUGCCGGGCACGAAGUUGGUGGCGUAGGCCCAGGCGUUGUUGUUGACGGGGUCCGCGAGGUGGUCGGCGAGGUUCUCGAGCGGGCCCUUGCCGGUGACGAUGGCCUGGACGAAGAAGCCGAACAUGGAGAACAUGGCGAGGCGGCCGUUCUUGAGCUCCUUGACCUUGAGCUCGGCGAAGGCCUCGGGGUCGUCGGCGAGGCCGAGCGGGUCGAAGCUGCCGCCGGGGUAGAGCGGGUCGACGACCUCGCCGAGCGGGCCGCCGGCAAUGCGGUAGCCCUCGACGGCGCCCAUGAGCACGACCUGGCAGGCCCAGAUGGCGAGGAUGCUCUGCGCGUGGAUCAGGCUCGGGUUGCCGAGGUAGUCAAGGCCACCCUCGCUGAAGAUCUGGGAACCCGCCUUGAACCAGACGGCCUCGCCGAACUUGACGCCGUUGCGGGCGA